rnacentral:rRNA from 1 species
UACAGAGGUCUCGAGCGUUAGUCGGAAUCACUGGGCUUAAAGCGUGCGUAGGCGGAUGUGCAGGCGUCGUGUGAAAGCCCUCGGCUCAACCGGGGAAUUGCACGGGCGAACCGCACGUCUCGAGACAAGUAGGGGCGGUCGGAACGAUAGGUGGAGUGGUGAAAUGCGUUGAUAUCUAUCGGAACGCCAAAGGUGAAGACAGGCCGCUGGGCUUGUUCUGACGCUGAUGCACGAAAGCGUGGGGAGCAAACGGG